rnacentral:rRNA from 1 species
UCCAGACUCCUACGGGAGGCAGCAGUGGGGAAUAUUGCACAAUGGGGGAAACCCUGAUGCAGCGACGCCGCGUGAAGGAAGAAGUAUUUCGGUAUGUAAACUUCUAUCAGCAGGGAAGAAAAUGACGGUACCUGACUAAGAAGCCCCGGCUAACUACGUGCCAGCAGCCGCGGUAAUACGUAGGGGGCAAGCGUUAUCCGGAUUUACUGGGUGUAAAGGGAGCGUAGACGGCAGCGCAAGUCUGGAGUGAAAUGCCGGGGCUCAACCCCGGAACUGCUUUGGAAACUGUGCAGCUAGAGUGCGGGAGAGGUAAGCGGAAUUCCUAGUGUAGCGGUGAAAUGCGUAGAUAUUAGGAGGAACACCAGUGGCGAAGGCGGCCUGCUGGACUGCAACUGACGUUGAGGCCCGAAAGCGUGGGGAGCAAACAGGAUUAGAUACCCCGGUACA